rnacentral:rRNA from 1 species
UACGUAGGCAGCGAGCGUUGUUCGGAGUUACUGGGCGUAAAGGGUGUGUAGGCGGUUGUUUUAAGUUUGGUGUGAAAUCUCCCGGCUCAACUGGGAGGGUGCGCCGAAUACUGAAUGACUUGGAGUGCGGGAGAGGAGAGUGGAAUUCCUGGUGUAGCGGUGAAAUGCGUAGAUAUCAGGAGGAACACCGGUGGCGAAGGCGGUUCUCUGGGCAUGUCCUGACGCUGAGGAGCGAAAGCUAGGGGAGCAAACGGG